CUCCUCUCCUUAAUUGAGUGGCCACUGGCUUGGCCGUGCUUUUUGCCUUCAACAACCAACAAAUACAUUAAAUCAAUCUUAUUUGUACAGCAAUGCAUAUGAAAGAGUUCAGAAAUAUUGGGAUUGGUCUAUUGUUUUCUUUAAUGUCAGUGAGACCACCAUACAAAUACCAUUGCCAAUGGUAAACGAAUUGAUGCCUUAUUUCUCUUGGAUUUGAAUGCCCUGAAGUCAAGUGGGUUACAUGGCGUGGCUUCUCAAUACCCACCAAAUAUGGCCAUUAGCCCCAUUUAAAAAGAGAGCCGCUAUUUGCAUCAUUGCAUGGAAAGUGGAACAAGACAAAAAGGAGUAACUAGGUAUAUUUAUAUAGUUUCUAGUCCCUUUUUGUUCUUAUUCAUGGAGCCCUUAUAUCCUUAUUUACGACAACAACACACGUACGUUCACGUGUUACAAUUGUAAGAAUAUGGAUUGAUAAGACAGAGAUAAGGGCACUUUUUGCAGUGAAAAACCUGUCAUCCAAUCUCAAACUAUUGUAAGGCAAAUUAU
rnacentral:lncRNA from 1 species